GUUGUUAGUUGUGAUGUCACCAUUAUUGAGCUGCAGGAUGUUGUCAUGUUCACAAUGUUGACGGAAGUUGAGGGGGGUGUUAAGGUGAGGAUUAAGAAUAAGUGGUAGCGUACCUGAACUCUACAUCACCUAACACUGCAGGACACCAAAGUCACUGCUGUACUGACAGAGCUGAACAGAGCUCUUCCAGUUAUGUCAGUUACUCCCAGCUGCGUCUGACCGUUCCUGCUGGAGAACAACACACGUGGAGAUCCUGAUGCCAACAAUACAUAUCAGAGAUGGAUUGCCGAUUAUCGAUGUCUGUCGAUCAAUGGCUCGGACCGGUGUCGGGGCAUACGGAUGCAAGCUGCACAUCAUGUUUGUUAUUGUAUUGUGGUUGCCAUGGAGACGGGAAGUGGAGGAUGACGUCACAUGAGGGCGACGCCUACCAGCUUCCGGAUCCGGGCGCCUUGCACGCGGUGUGGUGAGGGGAUUUAAGAAGUAAGUUUGUACACUGUAUUUUAUCCUGAUGACGAGGGAAUAAACCCUCGAAACG